rnacentral:rRNA from 1 species
GACGAACGCUGGCGGCGUGCUUAACACAUGCAGGUCGAACGCUGAAGCUCAGCUUUUGUUGGGUGGAUGAGUGGCGAACGGGUGAGUAACACGUGAGUAACCUGCCCCCUUCUUUGGGAUAGCGCCCGGAAACGGGUGCUAAUACUGGAUAUUCACUGGUCUUCGCAUGGGGGUUGGUGGAAAGGGUUUUUCUGGUGGGGGAUGGGCUCGCGGCCUAUCAGCUUGUUGGUGGGGUGAUGGCCUACCAAGGCUUUGACGGGUAGCCGGCCUGAGAGGGUGACCGGUCACAUUGGGACUGAGAUACGGCCCAGACUCCUACGGGAGGCAGCAGUGGGGAAUAUUGCACAAUGGGCGCAAGCCUGAUGCAGCGACGCCGCGUGAGGGAUGGAGGCCUUCGGGUUGUGAACCUCUUUCGCUCAUGGUCAAGCCGCAACAAUGGUUGUGGUGAGGGUAGUGGGUAAAGAAGCGCCGGCUAACUACGUG